UGGGAAUUUUGGACAAUGGGCGAAAGCCUGAUCCAGCAAUGCCGCGUGUGUGAAGAAGGCCUUCGGGUUGUAAAGCACUUUUGUCCGGAAAGAAAUCCUUGGCUCUAAUACAGUCGGGGGAUGACGGUACCGGAAGAAUAAGCACCGGCUAACUACGUGCCAGCAGCCGCGGUAAUACGUAGGGUGCAAGCGUUAAUCGGAAUUACUGGGCGUAAAGCGUGCGCAGGCGGUUUGCUAAGACCGAUGUGAAAUCCCCGGGCUCAACCUGGGAACUGCAUUGGUGACUGGCAGGCUAGAGUAUGGCAGAGGGGGGUAGAAUUCCACGUGUAGCAGUGAAAUGCGUAGAGAUGUGGAGGAAUACCGAUGGCGAAGGCAGCCCCCUGGGCAAUACUGACGCUCAUGCACGAAAGCGUGGGGAGCAAACAGGAUUAGAUACCCUGGUAGUCCACGCCCUAAACGAUGUCAACUAGUUGUUGGGGAUUCAUUUCCUUAGUAACGUAGCUAACGCGUGAAGUUGACCGCCUGGGGAGUACGGUCGCAAGAUUAAAACUC
rnacentral:rRNA from 1 species